UUUUGGUGGUUCAGGCUUCGGCUCAGGUGGUGGAGGUGCAGGCUUUUCUUUGGGUUUCUCAGGCUCUUUGGGCUUUUCAGGCUCCUUGGGCUUUUCAGGUUCUUUGGGCUUCUCAGGCUCCUUUGGUUUUUCAGGGUUUUUUGGCUUCUCUGGUUCUUUGGGCUUUUCAGGCUCUUUGGGCUUGACGGGUUCCUUGGGCUUUUCUGGUUCUUUAGGCUUGGGAGGUGGAGGAGGUUCGACAAUUUCUAUGCUUUUGAUGGCACCACAACCUUUGCAACAAAUCUUGUCUCUUAUCUUCUCGGGGCUACAACAAACCACUGUGAUUG
rnacentral:lncRNA from 1 species